rnacentral:tRNA from 1 species
GAGGGUAGAGCUCAGUGAUAGAGUGUGUGCUUAGCAUGCAUGAGGUCCUGGGUUCAACCCCCAGUACCUCCA